AAUUCACCCUUUGUCAGCCCUCUGAUUGGUUCCUGGCUCGACCAAUCAGAAAAAUCCUUCGCCGUUGCCCAACUUCCGGUUGGACAUUUGGCCUCGGCUCUAUCACAACAUCACAACAACUGAACAAGAGUAGAUUUAAAAUGGUUAAACGGUGUGCAUGGGGGACUUGUAAAAGUGACUCUCGCUAUCCUGAGAGAAGCCCAGGAGUAUAUUUUAUCCCAUUCCCGAAACCGAAAGUACAUUACGAAAAAUGUUUACUUUGGAUACGUUUAUGCGGACGUCCGCACUGGCAGCUAAAUCCGUCCAAAAUAACGAAAUACACGUACAUCUGCUCUGAGGUAAGUUGGCACAUUAUUCUUUACAGUAGUAAUGUCACAAUUUAAGAGCUAAUGUUAGUGGUUGUACUUAGGUUUUAUAGGCAUUUAUUUCCUUCUGCUAGCCAAAAUUGGCAUUAUAGCUGUCGUAGCCACUAGCUGUCAUAGCAUGAUUGUGUUCGCAUGCCAAGAUGAUGCCAUUCUGUAACAUCUGUUUAUAUUUUUUAUGAAAGCACUUUGUUGAUGGGGCACCAAGUGAUCGAUACCCAAACCCCGUGGAUGCAACAGGAAAGUCUGUUAAGCCUUGCAGACUUAACCCCAAAAGACAAAGGCUGCAUCAGCAGAGUGAGAGCGGCAGUUUGGCAAGCCCAGGUCAUACCAUGGCUGAAGAUACAGCACAGACCAGUAACGUGGCAGAAGAAGACGCACAGCAAAGCAGCAUAGCAGAAGAGAAAGAAGAGAUUGGCAGCGGCGCAGAAGAGACAGAAGAGACGAAAGAGAUUGGCAGCAGGGCAGAAGAGAGAACAAACCCAGGAGAGACCUGUUACACUGCAGAAGACACAGCACAGCCCAACACAGUCGGACACAUGUCAGAAAACGCUCAGUAUCUGUCAUUUUUAUAUGUUUCCUGUGGAUGUAGGAUAUGAAAAAAGAAAAGUCAGUUCAGAAACAUUUUUAUGCAAUACAUUUGUAUUUACAUUUGUAUACUUGUUUAAUGCAAUUAAAGUAAUUGAUUCAUUUUA